rnacentral:rRNA from 1 species
AUGACCGCCACCUCGCGGCCACAGCAUCCCAACGGGAGCCUAGCCCCGGCCUCGGACGGCGGCGAGUCCUUCGCCAAGUUCUUCGAGUGCUGGAUCUUGGAGCAGUCCCGUGACCUGGCCGCGCUCCGCGCCGCGGCGACGGCGCGGCCCGACGACUCUGACCUCCGGCGCCUCGUCGACCGUGUCCUCGGCCACUACGAGCACUACUACCGCGCCAAGUCCGCGGCCGCCUCCGCUGAUGUGCUCCCCAUGUUCGCGCCCUCGUGGAUCUCCGCCACCGAGAGCCUCUACCUCUGGUGCGGCGGCUGGCGCCCCACUUCCGCGAUCCAGCUGCUCCACUCCAAGUCCGGCCUGCAGCUCGAGGCCCAGCUCCCGGCGUUCCUCGACGGCGGCAGCCUCGGGGACGGCGACCUGGGCGGCCUCUCCGCGGAGCAGCUCCAGGCCGCCGACCAGCUGCAGCGCCGCACCGUCCGGAGGGAACGGGCGAUCGAGGAGGUCGCCGCCGGCGCGCAGGAGUCGUUGGCGACGACGAAGAUGGUGGAGCUCGCCGGAAAAGGAGGUAUGGACGCGGCGGAGGGGAUGGAGCUGGAGAUGGAUGCCAAGGCGGAGGCGAUGAAGCGCGUGCUGGAGAUGGCGGACGCGCUGAGGCUGGAGACGCUGCGCGGCGUGGUGGGGCUGCUCCGGCCUGCGCAGGCCGUGCACUUCCUCGUGGCCGCCGCGGAGCUCCACCUCGCCGUGCACGAGUUCGGCCGGCGCAAGGACGGCGCCGCGGCGGCGGAGUGA